UGAGAGGAUUUAUUUCAUCUCUGUGGUGUU
rnacentral:piRNA from 1 species